CUCAUUGUUUGCUAAAGCUGAACUCAAAGCAACAUCGACCAUGAGACUGUCCCUGUGUGUCCUGCUGGUCACUCUGGCCCUUUGCAGCUAUGAGGCAAAUGCAAAAGUCUGUCCAGCUUUUGUAUCUGAAUUGAGGAGCUUCUUUUUGUAUCCUGAAAAGCUCUACAACAUCAAUCUUCUGAGAUUUCUUGCACCUAGAGAAUAUCGUGAAGCCAAGGUGAAAGUGAAGCAAUGCAUAGAUCUUAUGCCCAAAGGAGACAGACAAAACAUUUUCAAUGUUUUGAAAGGUGUAGUGUCCCAAUGUAACAACUAGACUUUAAAUAUCUUACGCACGAGAGCCUCUGUCAUUCAAGGAUGGCUUGAUCACCCCUGGAA